AGAGUUUGAUCCUGGCUCAGGAUGAACGCUGACAGAAUGCUUAACACAUGCAAGUCUACUUGAUCCUUCGGGUGAUGGUGGCGGACGGGUGAGUAACGCGUAAAGAACUUGCCCUGCAGUCUGGGACAACAUUUGGAAACGAAUGCUAAUACCGGAUAUUAUGUGAGUUUCGCAUGAAAUUCAUAUGAAAGCUAUAUGCGCUGCAGGAGAGCUUUGCGUCCUAUUAGCUAGUUGGUGAGGUAACGGCUCACCAAGGCGAUGAUAGGUAGCCGGCCUGAGAGGGUGAACGGCCACAAGGGGACUGAGACACGGCCCUUACUCCUACGGGAGGCAGCAGUGGGGAAUAUUGGACAAUGGACCAAAAGUCUGAUCCAGCAAUUCUGUGUGCACGAUGAAGUUUUUCGGAAUGUAAAGUGCUUUCAGUUGGGACGAAGUAAGUGACGGUACCAACAGAAGAAGCGACGGCUAAAUACGUGCCAGCAGCCGCGGUAAUACGUAUGUCGCAAGCGUUAUCCGGAUUUAUUGGGCGUAAAGCGCGUCUAGGCGGUUUGGUAAGUCUGAUGUGAAAAUGCGGGGCUCAACUCCGUAUUGCGUUGGAAACUGCCAAACUAGAGUACUGGAGAGGUGGGCGGAACUACAAGUGUAGAGGUGAAAUUCGUAGAUAUUUGUAGGAAUGCCGAUGGGGAAGCCAGCCCACUGGACAGAUACUGACGCUAAAGCGCGAAAGCGUGGGUAGCAAACAGGAUUAGAUACCCUGGUAGUCCACGCCGUAAACGAUGAUUACUAGGUGUUGGGGGUCGAACCUCAGCGCCCAAGCUAACGCGAUAAGUAAUCCGCCUGGGGAGUACGUACGCAAGUAUGAAACUCAAAGGA
rnacentral:rRNA from 1 species